rnacentral:miRNA from 15 species
CUGGGCUUACCCAUGUUUUCCCACAACUUUCUUGAGCUUAGUUUAAGCUUCUGUUCCUAUCUCAAGUUCAAGAAAGCUGUGGAAAAAUAUGAGGCAACCCAU